rnacentral:rRNA from 1 species
CGAACGCCGGGCCAGCAGGCGCGGUAAGAGGGGGGGAGCAAGCGGUGUUCGGAGUUACUGGGCGGAAAGGGCGCGUAGGCGGCCAUCGCAAGUCAGUUGUGAAAGCGCUGGGCUUAACCCAGAAAGGUCAACUGAUACUGCGGGGCUAGAGUGCAGAAGGGGCAACUGGAAUUCUCGGUGUAGCGGUGAAAUGCGUAGAUAUCGAGAGGAACACCUGCGGCGAAGGCGGGUUGCUGGGCUGACACUGACGCUGAUGCGCGAAAGCUAGGGGAGCGAACGGGAUUAGAUACCCGAGUAGUC